rnacentral:rRNA from 1 species
AUACGGAGGGUGCAAGCGUUAUUCGGAAUCACUGGGCGUAAAGGACGCGUAGGCGGGUUGGCAAGUCAGAUGUGAAGUCCUACAGCUUAACUGUAGAACUGCAUUUGAAACUGCCGACCUAGAGUAUGGGAGGGGGAGAUGGAAUUAGUGGUGUAGGGGUAAAAUCCGUAGAUAUCACUAGGAAUACCGAAAGCGAAGGCGAUCUCCUGGAACAUAACUGACGCUAAGGCGUGAAAGCGUGGGGAGCAAACCGGAUUAGAAACCCCGGUAGUCC